rnacentral:rRNA from 1 species
UACGGAGGGUGCAAGCGUUAUCCGGAUUCACUGGGUUUAAAGGGAGCGCAGGCGGACUUGUAAGUCAGUGGUGAAAUACCUGAGCUUAACUCGGGAACUGCCAUUGAUACUAUAGGUCUUGAAUGUUGUUGAGGUUUGCGGAAUGGGUCAUGUAGCGGUGAAAUGCAUAGAUAUGACCCGGAACACCUAUUGCGAAGGCAGCUAACUAAGCUUUAACUGACGCUGAGGCACGAAAGUGUGGGGAUCAAACAGG